AUGGGAGCUUGCUCCCUGAUGUUAGCGGCGGACGGGUGAGUAACACGUGGGUAACCUGCCUGUAAGACUGGGAUAACUCCGGGAAACCGGGGCUAAUACCGGAUGCUUGUUUGAACCGCAUGGUUCAAACAUAAAAGGUGGCUUCGGCUACCACUUACAGAUGGACCCGCGGCGCAUUAGCUAGUUGGUGAGGUAACGGCUCACCAAGGCAACGAUGCGUAGCCGACCUGAGAGGGUGAUCGGCCACACUGGGACUGAGACACGGCCCAGACUCCUACGGGAGGCAGCAGUAGGGAAUCUUCCGCAAUGGACGAAAGUCUGACGGAGCAACGCCGCGUGAGUGAUGAAGGUUUUCGGAUCGUAAAGCUCUGUUGUUAGGGAAGAACAAGUACCGUUCGAAUAGGGCGGUACCUUGACGGUACCUAACCAGAAAGCCACGGCUAACUACGUGCCAGCAGCCGCGGUAAUACGUAGGUGGCAAGCGUUGUCCGGAAUUAUUGGGCGUAAAGGGCUCGCAGGCGGUUUCUUAAGUCUGAUGUGAAAGCCCCCGGCUCAACCGGGGAGGGUCAUUGGAAACUGGGGAACUUGAGUGCAGAAGAGGAGAGUGGAAUUCCACGUGUAGCGGUGAAAUGCGUAGAGAUGUGGAGGAACACCAGUGGCGAA
rnacentral:rRNA from 1 species